CUUCUCUCCAGUAUGAGUUCGUUCAUGUAUUUGAAGGGAAGAGGGCCAGGGGAAGGCUUUCCCACAUUGUUUGCAUUCAUAGGGCUUCUUUAUACUAUGAUAUUUUUCAUGUGAGUGAAGGUGACUGGAUGUAGCAAAGGCUUUCCCACAUUGUUUACAUUCAUAGGGCUUCUCUACAGUAUGAGUUUCUUCAUGUGAGCGAAGGUAACUAGAUCUACCAAAGGCUUUCCCACAUUUUUUACAUUUAUAGGGCUUCUCUCCAGUAUGCGUUCGUUUAUGUAUUUGAAGGGAAUAGGGCCAGCGGAAGGCUUUUCCACAUUGUUUGCAUUCAUAGGGUUUCUUAAUAGUAUGAGUUUUUUCAUGUGCAUGAAGAUGACUGGAUGCAGCAAAGGCUUUCCCACACUGUUUACAUUCAUAGGGCUUCUCUGCAGUAUGAGUUUCUUCAUGUGAGGGAAGGUGACGGGAUGUAGCAAACGCUUUCCCACAUUGUUUACAUUUAAAAGGCUUCUCUCCAGUAUGAGUUCGUUUAUGUAUUUGAAGGGAAGACGGCCAAGCGAAGGCUUUUCCACAUUCUUUGCAUUCAUAGGGCUUCUUUACCGUAUGAGUUUUUUCAUGUGCACGAAGGCGACUGGAUGUAGCAAAGGCUUUCCCACACUGUUUACAUUCAUAGGGCUUCUCUGCAGAAUGAGUUUCUUCAUGUGCACGAAGGUGACUGGAUCUAGCAAAGGCUUUCCCACAUUGUUUACAUUUAAAAGGCUUCUCUCCAGUAUGAGUUCGUUCAUGUACUUGAAGGGAAGAAGGCCAGGGGAAGGUUUUUCCACACUGUUUACAUUCAUAGGGCUUCUUUAGAGUAUGAGAUUUUUUAUGUGAACAAAGGUGACUGGAUCUAGCAAAGGCUUUCCCACACUUUUCACAUUGGUAAGGAUUCUCUCCAGUAUGUGUUCUAUUAUACUUUCGAAGGGAACUGGAACAAGUUAAGUCUUCCCCAGGUUGCUUACUUCCAUAUAUCUUCUCCCCAGUAUGAGAUUGUCCACAUUUUUCAAAACUCCUGAAACAAUUGAACUCUUUUCUGCACGUCAAAUAUCCAUAAAGUCCAUUGACAUCAUGCACUGACACUUGUCUUUGAACACUUGUGAGAGAAAUGAAGGAUUUCCUGUUCUGUUUAACUUCAUAUGGCUUCCCUCCACACUCCUCAUUCUUAUAUGAUUUGUUUGCACAGUGAGAUAUGAUAUGCCUAUUAAGGAAAACAUAAUAUAUGUAGAUCUGUCCACACAUAUUGCUUUCACAUAAACUUUCUACCAGAAAUAUCCUUUAAGACUAAGAUUUGGAGCCAGGCACGGUGGUUCACCCCUGUAAUCCAAGUGACUGAGGAGACUGAGGCAGAAGGAUCUCGAGUUCAAAUCCAG
rnacentral:lncRNA from 1 species